rnacentral:rRNA from 1 species
CAGCAGCCGCGGGAAUACGGAGGGAGCUAGCGUUGUUCGGAAUUACUGGGCGUAAAGCGCACGUAGGCGGUUAUUCAAGUCAGAGGUGAAAGCCCGGGGCUCAACCCCGGAACUGCCUUUGAAACUAGAUGACUGGAAUCUUGGAGAGGUCAGUGGAAUUCCGAGUGUAGAGGUGAAAUUCGUAGAUAUUCGGAAGAACACCAGUGGCGAAGGCGACUGACUGGACAAGUAUUGACGCUGAGGUGCGAAAGCGUGGGGAGCAAACAGGAUUAGAUACCCCUGUAGUCCCUGUCUCUUAUAC